GGGCGUUAAGUUGCAGGGUAUAGACCCGAAACCCGGUGAUCUAGCCAUGGGCAGGUUGAAGGUUGGGUAACACUAACUGGAGGACCGAACCGACUAAUGUUGAAAAAUUAGCGGAUGACCUGUGGCUGGGGGUGAAAGGCCAAUCAAACCGGGAGAUAGCUGGUUCUCCCCGAAAGCUAUUUAGGUAGCGCCUCGUGAAUUCAUCUCCGGGGGUAGAGCACUGUUUCGGCUAGGGGGCCAUCCCGGCUUACCAACCCGAUGCAAACUGCGAAUACCGGAGAAUGUUAUCACGGGAGACACACGGCGGGUGCUAACGUCCGUCGUGAAGAGGGAAACAACCCAGACCGCCAGCUAAGGUCCCAAAGUCAUGGUUAAGUGGGAAACGAUGUGGGAAGGCCCAGACAGCCAGGAUGUUGGCUUAGAAGCAGCCAUCAUUUAAAGAAAGCGUAAUAGCUCACUGGUCGAGUCGGCCUGCGCGGAAGAUGUAACGGGGCUAAACCAUGCACCGAAGCUGCGGCAGCGACACUCAGGUGUUGUUGGGUAGGGGAGCGUUCUGUAAGCCUGUGAAGGUGUGUCGUGCUGUCU
rnacentral:rRNA from 1 species